AUUGAACGCUAGCGGGAUGCUUUACACAUGCAAGUCGAACGAGUGGCGGACGGGUGCGUAAUCUAUCGGAACGUGCCCAGUAGCGGGGGAUAACUACUCGAACGAGUGGCUAAUACCGCAUACUCUUGGAUCUGCCGAUAUCGGAUUAGCUAGUUGGUGGGGUAAAGGCUCACCAAGGCAACGAUCCGUAGCUGGUCUGAGAGGACGACCAGCCACACUGGGACGGAGACACGGCCCAGACUCCGACGGGAGGCAGCAGUGGGGAAUUUUGGACAAUGGGGGAAACCCUGAUGCAGCCAUGCCGCGUGUAUGAGAAGGCCUUCGGGUUGUAAAGUACUUUUGGCAGAGAAGCGGUAUCUGCAGAAUAAGCACCGGCUAACUACGUGCCAGCAGCCGCGGUAAUUC
rnacentral:rRNA from 1 species